rnacentral:hammerhead_ribozyme from 1 species
GUAUUGCUGAAGAGCCUCAAAAUAGGACGAAACAGCUGUCCAGUAC